GACGAACGCUGGCGGCGUGCUUAACACAUGCAAGUCGAGCGGUAAGGCCUUUCGGGGUACACGAGCGGCGAACGGGUGAGUAACACGUGGGUGAUCUGCCCUGCACUUCGUGAUAAGCCUGGGAAACUGGGUCUAAUACCGCAUAUGACCUCCUAUCGCAUGGUGGGUGGUGGAAAGAUUUAUCGGUGCAGGAUGGGCCCGCGGCCUAUCAGCUUGUUGGUGGGGUAAUGGCCUACCAAGGCGACGACGGGUAGCCGACCUGAGAGGGUGACCGGCCACACUGGGACUGAGACACGGCCCAGACUCCUACGGGAGGCAGCAGUGGGGAAUAUUGCACAAUGGGCGAAAGCCUGAUGCAGCGACGCCGCGUGAGGGAUGACGGCCUUCGGGUUGUAAACCUCUUUCAGCAGGGACGAAGCGCAAGUGACGGUACCUGCAGAAGAAGCACCGGCUAACUACGUG
rnacentral:rRNA from 1 species